UACGUAGGGGGCGAGCGUUGUCCGGAUUCAUUGGGCGUAAAGAGCUCGUAGGCGGCUUGGCAAAUCGGGUGUGAAAACUCCAGGCUCAACCUGGAGAUGCCACCCGAUACUGCUAUGGCUUGAGUUCGGUAGGGGACCACGGAAUUCCUGGUGUAGCGGUGAAAUGCGCAGAUAUCAGGAGGAACACCUAUUGCGAAGGCAGCUCGCUGGGACGUUACUGACGCUGAGACGCGAAAGCGUGGGGAGCAAACAGG
rnacentral:rRNA from 1 species